CGGAGCGGAAGUUGCUUUGUUUUGCUUCAAGAUGGCUGCGGGGAUGUAUUUGGAACAUUAUCUGGACAGUAUCGAAAACCUCCCCUUUGAACUGCAGAGAAACUUCCAGCUCAUGAGGGACCUGGACCAAAGAACAGAGGACCUGAAGGCUGAAAUUGACAAGUUGGCCACUGAAUAUAUGAGUAGCGCCCGCAGCCUGAGCUCCGAGGAAAAAUUGGCCCUUCUCAAACAGAUCCAAGAAGCCUAUGGCAAGUGCAAGGAAUUUGGUGACGACAAGGUGCAGCUUGCCAUGCAGACCUAUGAGAUGGUGGACAAACACAUUCGGCGACUGGACACAGACCUGGCCCGUUUUGAGGCUGAUCUGAAGGAGAAACAGAUUGAGUCAAGUGACUAUGACAGCUCUUCCAGCAAAGGCAAAAAGAAAGGCCGGACUCAAAAGGAGAAAAAAGCUGCCCGUGCUCGUUCCAAAGGGAAAAACUCUGACGAAGAAGCCCCCAAGGCCGCCCAGAAGAAGUUAAAACUUGUGCGCACGUCUCCUAUGGAGAGAUGAUUGGCUGUGACAACCCUGAUUGUUCCAUUGAGUGGUUCCACUUUGCCUGUGUGGGGCUGACCACCAAGCCUCGGGGGAAAUGGUUUUGCCCACGCUGCUCCCAAGAACGGAAGAAGAAAUAGACAAGGGCCUUGGAUUCCAACAGUGUCUUCCACAUCCCCUGACCUGGGCUAGAGGGGAGAGGGAUGUCUGGCUGGGGCUGGGGGUCAGGGAGAGGUGGAUGGCGCAGAGUUGUCAUCCCCUCUCCUCCCCUCCCAACUCCUGGUGCUGAGGCUGCAUCCAGACCCUGGUAUGGGUGGUGCUGCAGCCAAUAACGGUAUGUGCUCUCAUUCAGCCCGCCCCCGUCAGAGGGAAGUGGUCCUGCCCACUGUCCUUUUGCCUCCAUGCUGAGGUUGGUGCUGUAUUUUUGAGGGAUGUUCCUCUUUACUCCCCUUGCUUUGUAUUUAAGGACUGGGGCAGUAGCAUGGGGCCCUCCCCCAGCCUCCUGAUUCCCUCCCCUCAUGGGGGGCCACAGUGUGAUAAACCUUCUUCACUCUCUUCCUGCUUUUUCCAGUGGGGGCUCCCCCAGGUCAUCUGGGCUGUGGCCCUGGCUGGGCACCCCUUCCUCUGUGCCAAGAGGAUUUGUCCUGGCCUUGUGAGUGGGAGGGGCAAGGUGGAGUGCAGAUGUCUCACAUGUAAAGGAAUUGGGUCGGUGAAUAAAAGCUGUACAUGUUGGCCUGCUGUGUUUAUUGUAGAGACACUGUUUUAGCACAUAUGCUAAGCAUAUUUUGCAUCUUCUGAGUUAGCUGAAAGGUGGGAGGAUGACAUGCCAGAAGUAGGACAAGAUGUGGAACCAGAAGUGGUACCUCUGCCCCAGAAUCCACAACUUCUCAACUUGGGAAGGAUCAGAGCUGGCUGGGGAGUGUGUGCCUCAGACCCGGGCUUCUGAAACUUUUAAGAUUGUGCAUCUUUUCUCCAUAAAAUAUCUUUCACUUAA